UUAUUGAUGUUUGAUAUGAGAUAUAUGCAUGUGAUACAUGGUAGAAUUGGUACUGUAAUUCGAAUUGCAUACUUUUGUUAUUGUGAGCAUGCUGUAGCGGUUAAGUUCUUGUAUAUAACUUGGUGCAAUUACUUGAUCACUAGCAUUACUCACUUUGUAUCAAAUAUCACUGUUCUUGUUUCAAGAUUGUGUUUACAUUUCUGCCUGAAUUCUUGAAAUUUUUCAAAACCAUUUUUUGCUCACUAGUUGAUCUUUAAUUCAAGAUUAAACUAUGUCCAUGAGUAUAG
rnacentral:lncRNA from 1 species